CUCGCCCCUGUCCCAAGCGGUGCCGCCGCCAGACCAAAACUUUCCUCUCUCUCAGAUCUCAUCUCCCCUCGUUCCGACCUUCCGCUCCUCGCCCUGGAUCACCCAGCUCCGCCGCUCCGGGCCCGCCCCACUGCGCCGCUCCCAGGCCAGCCCCGCUCGGCCGCUCCCCUGCCCACCCCAUUCCGCCGCUCCACUUCUAUUUCCCCUUCUCUACCGCAUUGGUGACCUAGUCACACCAUGGUUGGGAAGGGCGUGGUGGCCCUGGCCAUGCCGGCUGGCUGACGGCAUCGUGCCACUAGCGGCGACUCCAUCUGCGAUGCCCUCAACUCGUGCUGCCGCCCUUGACCGUGGUAAAUGGUGUCGCCCCCGCUGAUUGGACGACGACCGGAUCUGCGUGCUGUUGUACGCCACUGCUACCAUCCAUAAGAAUCACACAUUACAGGAUGACAAUUGGAAGAAAAGCAUAUCGACUUUCUCUAGCCAUCAAACAUGUGCCUGCUGCUCGGAACACUAUGAUGGAUAUGUAAGAGUUUCAGAUCUUCCUCCUGCUAUUCCAAAUAAUGAAGACCGACCUGCUGGGAAGAUACUUUGGCAACUAACCAAGGAGUGCCUAUUGCAGAAAUACCACCGCCGCCAGUUCCACCUUCUCAUUCACUUUCUCCUCCUGGAUCUCCACAACGAUCUACUAUCCAAAUUCUAGAAAAUAGCGAAGAACCACCAGCUUUGUGUGCUCAACAAGAAAUAAAUCCUAGCUCUCUUCACGAAGGCAGGAACAUGGUGUUGCCUCAAGUGUUCGUGUUGCAGACGAUGAAGGGAUGUUUGGGGGAUUCUUUUUCAGUCAGUCAUUAUUGAGCAACCAGUUGGGUUCUUGAUGUUAACAUGGUGGUACAUGUUUUGGUGUAACAUUUUGGUGCAUGUAUAGUUAACAUGCUGGUACAUGUUUUGUGAUGUAGAAAACUCUAGUUGACCUACAUCAGUAUAUAUGUGCUAAUUAAGAUGUUUACUCAGUUAGAUGUAGCAAACUCUGGCCAGCGUGCCUAUUUUUUGUCAAACAUUUGAUGGCUGGUGAUGUCUUGGCAUCUAUUGUAUGCAUUGACGAUUGAUACUAUCUUUAUAUUUGAUGUUAUUUUCAUUUCAUAA